UUCUUUGGAGGCCGUGAGAUUUUUGCCUUUUGUGGCGGGCACUUUAUUCCAGGCGUUAUUAUUCUACGAUAUUCAUCGGACGCUGACGCUUAUCACCACGUGCUAUGUGUCUUCAACAGCCGUGCUUUGUUACAUCAUGUCAACGACGCUCUCUGCUUCAUGAGUGUUGCGUACCUCAACCUUUUUUGUGCACAGUCGAUGUUUCCUGGGGCGGCGUUUGUCCCGCUGUGUUUGGCGUCAUUCGACGUUCCUCGAGUGAGCGUCGCUGAAAAUUCUCAUCACUCGGUCGUCGUACGGAGGGAUGGAGCAGAUUACAUGCAACAUCAGGGGUUGUCCCAACGAGUAUGAGCUGAGCGACCCGUCUCACCUGCUGUACGUUUGCACGGCGGACGAUAUACGAUGCAGGGAAUGGCUUGCCACGAUACCCAAGCUCUCGCUCAGCGACGCGGCCGUCAGCAGACUGUGUGUGUGUUCUCUACACUUCGAGCGUGGAGCUAACGUCAGCGGCGAUGCAUUGCCGACCAUCUUUCCGCCAGUGCCAGGACUUGGCGUCAUUGGGUGUGAGCCACAACAACUACAGAGUGAUACGCGAUGCAAUGAACGAAGUGACAUUGAGGACAGUGUACUGAAAACUUUGACAGACUUCUCAGAGACACAGCAUGUCCAGACAGAAUCUGAUCCCGUGACAGGAGAACUAGUUGGUAUCCAGAAUGCCAUGGAGCGGAUGGCAGACGCAACGGAGCAUAUUCGUUGCAGCACACAGUAGUGAUUAAUGUAGUAUUUAAUUAAAAAAUUUUUUUUUUCUCAUAUCUGCAUUUCGCUUCGUUUUAUCACCAAGUGGCAAGUGAAAUGAGCUUCAGUACUUAUAUCCUCCAUGUGUACUUUUGCUACAUAAGUACUCCUUAAUCUCUAUUACUUUCGCUUUUGUCUCAUCAAUUCCUAUUAAACUUAAAGUUACUGCUUUUGCUAUUUUCUUCAAACUCGGCAGUUCUCUGCUUAACGUUUCUCAUGUGUUGUUAUGGUGUACUGGUGGUUAGUUAGUUAAAAUAUGUGCCUCUGUUCACCUUCAUGUACUAUUGCGCUGAGUAUGAGCUACAUCAUGCGAGCGUGUGGCCUAGCGCUCUGCAAGGUUGUACAGUGGCGCCGAUCAUGGCAUAUUUUCGAGUUAUCGGGAGGGAGUUUGGCUGCUCGUGCGAGCGCGCAUCGCCCCCACUUGCUUGCUUUCACCCCCGAAGUUAUCAUUUUCGAAGCUGAUAUCACCACAGGUCUAAACGAGGGUGAGGAUGAAAGCAAGUGGAGGCGAUGCGCGCUAGCAGGGACAGCCACAGUCUCUCCCGAUAACUAGAAAAUAUGCCAUGAUCGGCACCACUGCACAACCUUGCAGAGCGCUCAGCCACGCGCUUGCGCGAUGUAGCUCAUACUGAGCACGAUAGUACCUCCCUACUUUUUCGUAAGGCCUCUGUCAGUGCAGCUGGUAAUAUUUUUGCCGUUCGAUAAGUCCUUGGGAUCUUAUACUGGUAGAAUAGGUGUUAUCAAUGAAACCUUUAGUCAGGGCAGAGUGAAACAUUAGUCUUCAUUUUAGAAUAAUAAUUUACCAGUCUGAACUGCCCUAUGUUUCACUUUGGGGUCUCUUUAAAGGGGUCCUGCAGCACCUUUUUAGCGUGGUCAGAAAACACUGCCGAUUGGUAAUUGAGGCUCCCGAGAACCUGUGAGCCAUACAUUAUAGCGCAGCACGCGCCCUGGAAGUGGCAAUUAAUUCUCAGAGUCGGCUAGAUAUCGCUUGCUCUUCUCUCGACAAAUGAUGCCAUAAACACAAAGUCCACGACCAUUGGCUGAUUUGAGCAUCGUUAGCUGCAUAGUUACACAGCCACCGCGGGAUACCGCGAUGUGCAUGCAUGCUUGCUCGCGAUCACGCUGAAAGUGAGCCGCACAUUCGAAGGGAAGAAAAGUGCUCAAGGUCAUGAUGUGCAUUGACGAAUGGAUGUAGCACCUUGCCCCCUUGUUGUCCCCCACCCCCUGUGUAGCUUUCAGUGUGCUCGCUGGUAUGAGAGGAGAGAAAAAGCGCUUAAAGCGUGCAACAUACCCCUGUAACUCUGCUCGUAUUUGAAGGAUUCUAAAAGUUCUUGCGGCAGUCGACUCGUGAGGUAAUAAAUUCCUUUGAUGAAGCCAUUCAAUGAUUACUUGGAAAAGAGUUGCAGGGCCCCUUUAACCAACUUUUUUUUUUUACGUUCUCCAAUUGAAAAUAUUGUAUCUAAUGCAUUUCUUAUCUUACUGGUUACUCACUAACCAGUACGUGGACUCGUACUAUUUGUGUGCUUGUUAGUAUGUGUAUGAGCAAGUUCCAGCAAGUGCAAAUGUGAGCGACUGUGAACGCAAGUGAGUGUGGACGGGUGUGUGUAAGAUAGUGGGUAUACAUGAUUGUGACUGAGUACAUAACAUGGGUGAGCGAGUGCGGGCAAGUACCCACUCAUUCUGUCAACUUCAUGUUUACUUCACUGUGCCGAUAACUGCUCCCUGCGCUUAUGAUUGUCCUGUAGCAAUGUUUCAGUUUGAAUCAUUUGUGUCCUGUAGUCUUCGUUGUUUUCUGAUGGUACAUGGACAAUUUCUGUGAGUCUGUUCUGUGAAAGAUACAAUGUGGGCUUUCUUGUAAUCCACUCUCAGUUGGUUUUCCAUAGU